CUGAGCAUCGUUGCGGAUUUCAUUGUUUUUAACUUAUCCAGUUAACCCUUACUUCUAGUGUAACACUCUGCCUGAUAGUUUUUACUUCAACUUCUCUGCUGACCCCGAGGAUUAUCAUUCUGUUCAGCCCUUACCCACCUGCAGGGGAAGAAAACACCAGCGUUAACACAAGAGGUGGCGUUAGGACCUGCAACAGCCAGGUCUGUGCGAACGAAUUUUCUGACGGUAACGCACCCAACGAGCUUGCUGGCGAACAAACGGUGCUUCGCGAUUGGCAAAAUCCGC